AUCAACGCUGGCGGCGCGCUUAACACAUGCAAGUCGAACGAGAAAGCCGGGGCAACCUGGUGAGUAAAGUGGCGUACGGGUGAGUAACACGUGGAUCAUCUACCCUGGAGUGGGGAAUAACGCUGGGAAACCGGCGCUAAUACUGCAUAAUCCCGAGAGGGCAAAGGAAGCAAUUCCGUUUCAGGAGGAGUCUGCGGCCGAUUAGCUUGUUGGCGAAGGGUAAAAGCCUACCAAGGCANCGAUCGGUAGCCGGCCUGAGAGGGCACACGGCCACACUGGCACUGAAACACGGGCCAGACUCCUACGGGAGGCAGCAGUGGGGAAUCUUGCACAAGUGGGGCAACCCUGAUGCAGCGACGCCGCGUGAGCGAUGAAGCUCCUCGGAGUGUAAAGCUCUUUCGGCAGGGAAGAUUAUGACGGUACCUGCAGAAGCAGCUGCGG
rnacentral:rRNA from 1 species